rnacentral:rRNA from 1 species
GAUGAACGCUGGCGGCGUGCCUAAUACAUGCAAGUCGAGCGAACAGACGAGGAGCUUGCUCCUCUGACGUUAUCGGCGGACGGGUGAGUAACACGUGGAUAACCUACCUAUAAGACUGGGAUAACUUCGGGAAACCGGAGCUAAUACCAGAUAAUAUAUUGAACCGCAUGGUUCAAUAGUUAAAGACGGUUUUGCUGUCACUUAUAGAUGGAUCCGCGCCGCAUUAGCUAGUUGGUAAGGUAACGGCUUACCAAGGCAACGAUGCGUAGCCGACCUGAGAGGGUGAUCGGCCACACUGGAACUGAGACACGGUACAGACUCCUACGGGAGGCAGCAGUAGGGAAUCUUCCGCAAUGGGCGAAAGCCUGACGGAGCAACGCCGCGUGAGUGAUGAAGGUCUUCGGAUCGUAAAACUCUGUUAUUAGGGAAGAACAAAUGUGUAAGUAACUAUGCACGUCUUGACGGUACCUAAUCAGAAAGCCACGGCUAACUACGUG